rnacentral:misc_RNA from 1 species
GAUGAAGAACGCAGCGAAAUGCGAUACUUGGUGUGAAUUGCAGAAUCCCGUGAACCAUCGAGUCUUUGAACGCAAGUUGUGCCCGAAGCCACUAGGCCGAGGGCACGCCUGCCUGGGCGUCACACGUCGUUGCCCCCCCCCCCAUCUACUCCUUCGGGAUUGCGGGGGGCGGAUGAUGGCCUCCCGUGCGCCUAGCCGCGCGGUUGGCAUAAAUACCAAGUCCUCGGCGACGCACGCCACGACAAUCGGUGGUUGCGAAACCUCGGUUGCCCGUCGUGUGCGUUCGUCGCGCAUCGAGGGCUCGAAAAAAUGCUCGGCUCCGGCUCGGCUUUCAACGCGACCCCAGGUCAGGCGGGGUUACCCGCUGAAUUUAAGCAUAUCAAUAAGCGGAGGA